GAUGAAGAACGUAGCGAAAUGCGAUAAGUAAUGUGAAUUGCAGAAUUCAGUGAAUCAUCGAAUCUUUGAACGCACAUUGCGCCCGCUGGUAUUCCGGCGGGCAUGCCUGUUCGAGCGUCAUUUCAACCCUCAAGCUCUCCGGAGUUUGGUGUUGGGGCGCCUGGGGCUUUUCGACCUCAGGGCCCUUAAGUCCAUCGGCGGGACCGCCAGGACACUGAGCGCAGUAGUAUUAUUUCGCUCGGUAGGAUCUUCCACGGCGGGUCGAUCUGGCCGCUAAACCCCCCAAUUCUCACCAAAGGUUGACCUCGGAUCAGGUAGGAAUACCCGCUGAACUUAAGCAUAUCAAUAAGCGGAGGA
rnacentral:misc_RNA from 1 species